CCCGGUGAUUAUCGUGGAGAGGCCACACCCGUUCCCAUUCCGAACACGGAAGUUAAGCUCUCUAACGCCGAUGGUACUGCCUUCGUGGCGGGAGAGUAGGUCGUCGCCGGGC
rnacentral:rRNA from 1 species